rnacentral:tRNA from 1 species
GAUCGAGUGCCCGAGUGGUCAGGGAGCGGUCUGCAAAACCGCGUACGCCGGUUCGAUCACGGUCACGGCCGCGA